CUUUAUCAACUACCAACUCACGCUAAAAUCUGACCGUUCAAAUCACCAUCGUUAAUUUCACCACAGCCGUUGGAUCAACCAAAAGGGUCAAUAAAUAUCCCCUAUCAUCUUCUAUUCGUUGCCGUGUACUUCUAUCUCUCCUUUAUCAAGGACGAAGUUUUCACGUUUCUUCUUAGAUCUUGGUUUCUGUUAGCCGUUUCAAACGAUUAUAUCAUUGUAAUCUUGUAGAUCGUUCUUCGAUCUACGUUUUGGUUAUGGAUUUGAUAUGUUACGAUCAGUCGAUCGCCACCGGUUGUUGUGGUUACCGAAGAUUAAGAUUCCGAUCCGCCGUUUCAGAAGGAUGAGGUUUGAUUUGAAGAGAAGACACGUGUUUUACCGAUGAUGAAUUUCAAUCAAGGACGAUCAUCUGUUAUGUUCUUCAGCUUCUUCAAUCUCAUAUAUCAGAUCUCCGAUCUUCGGAAAAUUAGAUAUAUAUUAAAGCUGUAAUCGAUCGGAUUCAAUAGUUGUUGUUCGAGUGCGAUGAUACACAAAUCAUGUAGAUGUAUUCGAGAUUUGGCGAGAUGUGUCUUGUUGAAGAUCUCAGAGGCGAUAGAUUGAUUUGUAAGAUCUACUGGUGGUGUUGCGUGUUGAUUUCGUUAUGUUGUGAGUCCGGCCUUUGCCAUGUCAGGUGCGCUUGCAUGGCAGGUCAAAAGUGUUAAUGAAAUUAUUGUUUUUGUUUUGGUGGAAGGAGAUGGUACGGGGUUGCCCGGUUCUCCUUCCUUCCUUGUGCGCCUGCGUUCUCUUCUCUUCUUCUUUGCUAUCUCUCUCUCUUGCCAAAGAUCUAAAAACGUAAAGCGUGGUUCUAAUUUUGUCCCAAAA